AAUCAACGCUGGCGGCGUGCCUCAGACAUGCAAGUCGAACGAGAACCUCCCUUCGGGGAGGGGACAGUGGCGCACGGGUGAGUAACACGUGGGUAAUUUACCUUUGGGUGGGGAACAACAGCCGGAAACGGCUGCUAAUACCGCAUAAUGCAGCGGCUCGACAUCGAGACAGUUGUUAAAGCGGGGGAUCGCAAGACCUCGCGCCUGAAGAGAAGCCUGCGGCGGAUUAGCAGUUGGUAGGGUAAUGGCCUACCAAGGCGACGAUCUGUAACCGGCCUGAGAGGGCGGUCGGUCACACUGACACUGACAUACGGGUCAGACUCCUACGGGAGGCAGCAGUCGGGAAUUUUGGGCAAUGGGCGAAAGCCUGACCCAGCAACGCCGCGUGAAGGAUGAAGCUUUUCGGAGUGUAAACUUCAUAAGAAUGGGAAGAAUAAGUGCGGGA
rnacentral:rRNA from 1 species